CCUACGGGAGGCAGCAGGCGCGAAAACUUUACACUGCUAGAAAUAGCGAUAAGGGGACCCCGAGUGCCAGUACCUAGUGCUGGCUGUCCCGCUGUCCAAACAACAGUGGUUAGCAAGGGCCGGGCAAGACCGGUGCCAGCCGCCGCGGUAACACCGGCGCCACGAGUGGGGGUCAUAUUUAUUGGGCCUAAAGCGUUCGUAGCCGAAUCUGCAAAUCUCUUGUGAAAUCGCCAUGCUCAACAUGACGGAUGGCAAGAGCGACUACAGAUUUAGAGAUCGGGAGGAGGCAGGGGUAUUCCUUGGGGAGCGGUAAAAUGUUUUAAUCCUUGGAAGACCACCUGUGGCGAAGGCGUCUGCCUAGAACGAAUCUGACGGUGAGGAACGAAAGCUGGGGGAGCGAUCCGGAUUAGAUACCCCAGUAGUCCAAGCCG
rnacentral:rRNA from 1 species